CAGCCUGCCACACGCCUGGUAUCCACGCUCCACUCCUCCACGCACCACGCGCAGGCACGUAGCCCGUUUCGUGCCCAGCGUCCAGCACCCCGUGUCCACAGCCGCACGUCCAAUCGUCCUACGUUUAUUAAUUUUUCACUACAGUUGUGUUUUUUGUAUUUUUUACCGGUGAAGAGCUGUUUUCAGCCGAUUUUUCAAUUUCUGAUCUUUUCAUUUAUGCCGUUCCCUGUCAUGUCGUGGAUCAUAUAUAUAUAUAGACACACGCAUCCGUGUCUAAAGUUUUAUUGUGCUGGAUUAGUAGUAUAUAUACAGAUUACAAUAGAAAUUUAGUCUUAAUUGUGAUUACUUAAAGGAGCAACAUUGAUUUGUCUUUAAUAGAGCAGGGUUGAUUAUAUAGAAUUGUAUAUUAAAAAUUUACUACACCAUUGACACACUCUAUAUAAAAAUCUAGGUCCGCCAGCUUACAAUCCAAUGCACAUUAUUUUUAAUGAUUUUGUAUAUUGAUAUGCUAUGGCAGUGACUUAAGGAAACCUUGAUUUUAAUUUUUUAAACACCUAGCAUUAAUGCCACGUAACAGAUCCUACUUUUCUUUUUGCAGAGCUCGGUUACUACAGCUCGUCCUCCUCCGGUAUAUCGCUGGCCUCCAUGAAAUUUGAUAUGCACAUGCUACACACUACUGGAGAAAGUGCAAUAUGUACUAGUUAGCAAUGCAACUGGCUACAGUACCAACGAUGUGGAUAUCUAUAACUAAAAACCCAAAUCAUUAGUCCGAGUUGUAUAGAUCAUAUACUAAAUAGUGAACUUUAGUACUUGUUUUUGGCUUGAAUAUGUACUAAAGGAUCCGUUUUUAGUACCAGUUCUAUUAGAAAAUAGUAAUUACAUGUAUAGAGUAGUUGGCACCGACCGAUCGUAAUUCACUAUGAAAUAGUAAUUGCCCAGCUUACAAUAGAAUGCACAUUUUGUUUAAUAAUUUGACCUGUUAGGCUAGCUUCAGCGAAGCGCGUAAAUGGAUGUGCAUGUGUAUUUUUGUUUGUAUUCAACUAUGUACUCUUCCAGGAGAGCGCGGAUGAGGAGGAUAUGAAAAAUGUGGACACCCAGCCUCCUCGUAUAUCAGAUCCAUGAUUUCUCUCUCAUUGGCAGGUUUAUAUACGCAUCCGUAUUCGCGCUCUGCUGGAAACGCCCUCACUUGUACUGUG
rnacentral:lncRNA from 1 species